CUUUAUGGUAGCUGUGCGCAGGGCGCCCUCGGGCGCGCCGGUUUCGGUUCUCCCCGGUCUGCUAACCUGCGCACGGCUGCCACCCAU
rnacentral:antisense_RNA from 1 species